rnacentral:rRNA from 1 species
CAAACCCCUGUCAUUUGCGAACAAAAUUGCUUCACCUAACACGUGUAUCAUUGAUUGUAGCGAAAGAGGAAGGGACGGCUAACUCUGUGC